CACACCGGUCAAUGAGGGUUCGUGAAGGGAGCCUGGCAUGGUGCGCGCGCCUCGAUCUAGGAGAGCGCCUCAAACCUGCAGGGCCCUUGGGCACGCGCGCCACCACUGCGCCGCCGCAGUCGGAAGACGUCGGGUCCGUGGUGGCAACAGUGGCGGCCGCAGUCGGGUUCCGCGGGGAAUGCUCUGCUCAGCGAUGCACUGCCACUGACCGCCACGGACAGCUGACGCUUGAACAAAGUCCAGACGCCGCGUCCGCCAAUGCGCACGCGUCCACGCCUUCUGGCAUCGCCUCCACUUAGCCCCGAACCCGGAGCCGGGCGGGCGCCGCCGGCUCGCAAGCGCCGGGGUCUUCCCCUAACCCCGUGCGCGGCGGUGCAGGGGGUGUACAACCACCAAUCCGAGCGACCGGCGAAUGGCCCUCCCGGUGGCUAAUGCGCAAAGAAAGUCAACGCCACCGCCACUGGCUCAUAAACCGCGCGCUGUCUCCACGUCGCGCCACAGCGGCAGUCCCCCUCGGUGAAACACCGCGGGCUAUAAAUACACAGCAGCUGCCGGGACACAGAGGCUUGCCCAUCCACCUCGGACAGCAGCCACAGGAACCGCCUCCCCGGGUCACGCGCCUGCAAUGGAUGGGGGAGCCGCUGUGGAACGCGGAACAGAGGGCACGGCCCGCACGCAGGCCACGAGCAGCAGCAGCAGCAGCGGAGACCCGGAGAGGGACAGUUGGGAAGACGCAAACAUCCUCCCGAAUAAGGCCCCUCUCAUCCCUCUACCAUCAUCACCAGCAUUGGGCUGCCACACAUCGUGUCAGCACUGGCCAAGAUAGCUGCUGUCACCUCCUCCACAAAUUAAAAUACAUAUAAUCUCUCAAAUGUGACUACCUCGCGCAGCGCAAUAAAGAGUGGAAGGCAUCGUGCUUUCUUCGUCUCUGUCAGAGUCUAUGGGUCUCUGUGAGAGUCUAUGGAUCUCUGUGAGAGUAUAUGUGUCUCUGUGAGGGUCUAUAAGUCUCUGGGAGCGUCUAUGGGUCUCUGGGAGAGUCUAUGGGUCUCUGUGAGAUUAUACUGGGCCCAUAAGCCAGCAGCUGCGUUCACAGUUCAUAUCCAUGUUGGUGGCAUUAGCGGAGUACAGGAAAGGAAAGCUUCACUGAGUCUCAAGAUUAUAUUUUAGGAGGGUCCUGCAUUUGAUUGUUUGGCCAGUUCUAUUCACGGGUAUUUUGCAUUUGAGCGGGAUCUGGAGCACCCAGAGAAAGCGCACGCAUGCAAGAGGAUCACACUUAAAGUUUCACACGGAUGGGUUCACGAACACACCUUUUUUGUGCUGAGCGGUAGCAACAUUUUUGGUCACUUCGAAUCACCAAAAAACCAGAGUGGUCGUGAAUUGUCGCCUAACAUUUACAAUCUUUCUCUUCUGCAGUCACGAAACACAGCGGCGCUUUAAUUGCUUUCUUUGAAGCAACAACAAACGCCGUAAAUGCUCGCGCGGCAAAUGUGUUUACUGAGCGCAGCAUUACGAUGCGAGUCACCAACGCUGAUUAUGUAACGCGACGUGCUCGCUCAAUCAGCUAAUCCGCCCCUCCCCCCACCGUGGAAAUUCAUUCCGCGGCAGCUUUUAAAAUCUCGUUACGCUUUGAUGAUUGUGUUGGGCCGCGCGUGCCUUGACAAUGCCCCCCCCCCCACACCACACCGGGGGGGGGUGUCAACGAUCGAGCGUUUGUGAGGGAUCCCUCGGUGGCGAUUGGUAGGGGUCUGGCCACGCUUGGCUGUCGUAACCGAGCCGACAAAGCGCCCAGGGGUAUCUGCACCAUUGCGGAGGACGCGUUGACUUCUCGGCCGCACCGAGAGAUGUUUGUUCAUGAGUUUGUGAGCGAUAGCGCAGUGCUGACAGUCGCGCCUCGGAGCAAGAAGUUUCCCGGGUUCGAUCCCCACUACCCAAGCUUUUCUUUGCGUGGAGUUUGAAUGCUCCUUCCCCCCGCUGUUUUGCGUGGGAUUCCUUCAUUCAGAAGUGGAUCGAUCAACGGCUGACGGUGAUCGUUGCAGGCCCCCCGACAGCAUUUUCCAGACGUCCGCCUCGAACUGCCUCGCUCGCACCGCCCUCCGUGGACGUCAGCACCUCGAAAUAUUUUCUGGAGAUCAGCCUCGGACAGCUCCGGCUGCAAAUAGACCCCAGCGAUGAAGGAAUGUAAAUCCCCGUCUUGUGUCCCCGAGACGUUGCGAGGGCAGAUCCAGGCGAGGUGAUCAUGAACGCCGCUUGAAGUCGCCCCUCGCGCCGACGGCGAGAGGCGACGCGCGUCCUUUCAGGGGGAGCUCUCGACAAAGGCGCUCCCCAGAGCUCUUGCAUUGGAGCCCUUUGAUUUCUUGUUUUGAUUUCUUGUUUUCUCCCGGCCUUCCUCGACUCCUCUGCUCACUGCACCCCGUUAAUUCCAUUAACCCACCCCCCUCGUCUCCCCUCCCUCCAAAAUGGCUCUUCCGUCUCGCCCAUAAUUUGCAUCUCAAUUAUUGCCAGACCUUUUUGUUGUUGUUGUUGUUGUCCGAUUGAGUUGUCCACCGCGCCAAUCUCAUUCGACCGUUCUCCGCGUUCCUUCUCAUCGGCUGUGCUGCUCGGCACGUCACGGUUUCGGGUGACAGCCAAUCAGUGGGAAGGGUCACCCGCAUGUGGACCGACAAGCUAAUUAGACCUGCUGGGUGUAUUAUUGUUGUUAGUAAUUGACAGAGUUCGCAUCUCCGCAUCGCUGCACGUGCUCGUGUUUUAGUACCUCGGACACACUGAGAGAUCCCUGAGAGGGCGGGCCGAUAACUGCAUUUGAGGGACCGUAGAUUUGUGGUUUAACCUUCUGCGGAAGGACGGGGAAAAAAUCUCGCGGUUUUUCUUCCUCUCCCUCUCCCUCUCCUUCUCCCUCUCCCUCUCCUUCUCCUUCUUCUCUCUCUUUGCGGGGAGAGCAUCGCCACUCUCACCUCGGGGUGAAUUACCGCGCCCAGAGCGUCCCUCGAUCCCUCGGCGCACGAAUCCCGCACCAAGCGCCGUGAACGCGCCGUGCCGAGCCCCCUCUGAGUCGACGCGCCGCGCCGAGCCCUCUUUGAGUGACACCGCGGGGCUGAGACGGCGUCCGUGAUGAGCGCGGCCUCCGACGGAGUCGUUGGGCCGAGCCGACGAAGGCGAGCAACGACGCCUGGUCGCUUCUGUCUCCCCACUGCUGAACUUGAUAAAAUAUCACGUGAAAAAAAGAAAGCGGGCACAGUGUUUGAUGAUCCAGAACUUAACUCCAUGAUCACUCGCUCACAUGCGGGACGUCCCCUCUCUAUCAUUCUCCCAUCGCUAUUGCCAUGGUUACUGGUCCUGUGAACUCAUUGAUUCCUCCACCCAUGAUGAGGACUCGGUCUGCCAGACGGACUCUUUCAUCUCAACCACACCGCGUUCAGCCACCCCCACCACCACCACCAUCCCACCGCAGGUCACCUCACUUAUCUUUCUGAUUCUUCCCUCGCGCUGCUUGACUUCCGAAUUCCCUCCUACCACCGUCGUCUCCUUCCCCAAGCUCUUAAAAUAAAUAACCUUGCUCAAUU